GUGCCAGCCGCCGCGGUAAGACAGAGGUGGCGAGCGUUGUUCGGAAUUACUGGGCUUAAAGGGCGCGUAGGCGGUGAUAUAAGUCUGGGGUGGAAGCCCAUAGCUUAACUAUGGGACUGCCCUGGAAACUGUAUUGCUUGAGUCGGACAGGGGAAGGCGGAAUUCCAGGUGUAGCGGUGAAAUGCGUAGAUAUCUGGAGGAAGGCCUGUGGUGAAGACGGCCUUCUGGGUCUUGACUGACGCUGAGGCGCGAAAGCGUGGGUAGCAAACAGGAUUAGAUACCCUGGUAGUCCACGCCCUAAACGGUGGGUACUAGGUGUGGGGCCCGUACGGGUUCUGUGCCGAAGGGAAACCAUUAAGUACCCCGCCUGGGGAGUACGGCCGCAAGGUUGAA
rnacentral:rRNA from 1 species